rnacentral:rRNA from 1 species
AUUGAACGCUGGCGGCAGGCCUAACACAUGCAAGUCGAGCGGAUGACGGGAGCCUGCUCCUUGAUUCAGCGGCGGACGGGUGAGUAAUGCCUAGGAAUCUGCCUGGUAGUGGGGGACAACGUUUCGAAAGGAACGCUAAUACCGCAUACGUCCUACGGGAGAAAGCAGGGGACCUUCGGGCCUUGCGCUAUCAGAUGAGCCUAGGUCGGAUUAGCUAGUUGGUGAGGUAAUGGCUCACCAAGGCGACGAUCCGUAACUGGUCUGAGAGGAUGAUCAGUCACACUGGAACUGAGGCACGGUCCAGACUCCUACGGGGGGCAGCAGUGGGGAAUAUUGGACAAUGGGCGAAAGCCUGAUCCAGCCAUGCCGCGUGUGUGAAGAAGGUCUUCGGAUUGUAAAGCACUUUAAGUUGGGAGGAAGGGCAGUAAGUUAAUACCUUGCUGUUUUGACGUUACCGACAGAAUAAGCACCGGCUAACUCUGUGCCAGCAGCCGCCGCCGUAA